rnacentral:rRNA from 1 species
UGGGGGAUAUUGCACAAUGGGCGAAAGCCUGAUGCAGCGACGCCGCGUGGGGGAUGAAGGCCUUCGGGUUGUAAACUUCUUUUGCUCUGAACAAGGCAUGCCUUUGGGGUGUGUUGAGUGUAGGGGUUGAUUAGCGCCGGCUAACUACGUGCCAGCAGCCGCGGUAAUACGUAGGGCGCGAGCUGUGUCCGGAAUUAUUGGGCGUAAAGGGCUUGUAGGUGGCUGGUUGCGUCUGUCGUGAAAGCUCAUGGCUUAACUGUGGGUUUGCGGUGGGUACGGGCUGGCUUGAGUGCAGUAGGGGAGGCUGGAAUUCCUGGUGUAGCGGUGGAAUUCGCAGAUAUCAGGAGGAAUACCGGUGGCGAAGGCGGGUCUCUGGGCUGUUACUGACGCUGAGGAGCGAAAGCGUGGGGAGCGAACAGGA